GGGUCAGUAGGUUGGUCGUGCCACCGGUACGUACUGGUCUCACUGAUUCCUCCUUCCUGAGGAACCGUAAUGCCAUUAAUUUGGUGUUGCGGGGAAACAGGACUGUUACUUUGAAAAAAUUGGAGUGUUUAAAGCAAGCUAACGCUUGAAUACAUUAGCAUGGAAUAAUGAAAUAGGACGAUCGAUCCUAUUUUGUUGGUUUCUAGGAUUGACGUA
rnacentral:rRNA from 1 species